rnacentral:rRNA from 1 species
AUUGAACGCUGGCGGCAGGCCUAACACAUGCAAGUCGAGCGGAGCGGCGGACGGGUGAGUAAUGCCUAGGAAUCUGCCUGGUAGUGGGGGAUAACGUCCGGAAACGGGCGCUAAUACCGCAUACUAUCAGAUGAGCCUAGGUCGGAUUAGCUAGUUGGUGGGGUAAAGGCCUACCAAGGCGACGAUCCGUAACUGGUCUGUUAGGAUGAUCAGUCACACUGGAACUGAGACACGGUCCAGACUCCUACGGGAGGCACCAGUGGGGAAUAUUGGACAAUGGGCGAGAGCCUGAUCCAGCCAUGCCGCGUGUGUGAGGAAGGUCUUCGGAUUGGAAGACACUUUAAGUUGGGGGACGUUGCCAACAGAGUAGACACCGGCUAACUUCGUGCCAGCAGCCGCGGUAAUAC